rnacentral:rRNA from 1 species
UAGAUACCCUGGUAGUCCACGCCCUAAACGAUGUCAACUAGGUGUUGGGUGGGUAAAACCAUUUAGUACCGUAGCUAACGCGUGAAGUUGACCGCCUGGGGAGUACGGCCGCAAGGUUAAAACUCAAAGGAAUUGACGGGGACCCGCACAAGCGGUGGAUGAUGUGGAUUAAUUCGAUGCAACGCGAAAAACCUUACCUACCCUUGACAUGUCCAGAAGCCCGGAGAGAUUUGGGUGUGCCCGAAAGGGA